UUAAAGAGACAGGAUUUGAACCUGCACCAAAAAACUCAAAAUUUCAUGUACUUCCUUUAUACUACCCUAUA
rnacentral:tRNA from 1 species